GCCGCUCCUUUUCACUGGUUGGCUGUACGUGUCUCCAGGCGCGCAAGCUCCAAGUAGGAAAGGGGGCGGAACCGAGCUCCGCCGGCUCCCACAGCCUCCUGCCCCUCUGCGGACGCCGCGGGUUCCAACCUUGCAGAAGGAGCGGGGCGGAGCGGGGCGGAGCGGGCUCCGCUGGUUCCCACACGCACAGCUUCCCCUUUCCCUGUUUUAAUCUUCUUAGUGCUUAAAGUAGCAAGAGUGGUUUCUUUUUCCUGCAGAUGGACCCUCCUUUAUACAGGUAGGGAGAGAAGAGGACGCCCUGGAUAGCGUCCAGAGGAACGCCAGCACUUACUAUGGGCAGGGAGGAAGAUCCAGAAGAGAGAUCGGAGAAGGAGCAUCAAAGAGGAGGGGGAAACCCAGGGAAGUUUCAAGCACACCAUGGUUAACAACGUCAUUCUCAACUGCUGCCAGGAAGCAGUUCCCGGAGGUCCCUGGAGUGGUGACCCUCAAGGCUUCCUGAAGCGGUUGCUAUGGGCCAGGCACUGAGUCAGACUCGGACCCUGCCCCUCAAGUUCACAAUCUGAUCUGGAGGAGAUGCAGAAUAGUUGACCACUUCAGUAUGUCCCCCUAAACAGUCUAGUGCUCAGUCUGCUCGUACUUGAGCUUGACGAAAUGGCAUCGUCCUGCGCAGGGGACGCGGGUAGCAUCGUGCCAUCCUUGCUAGUCUGGUGGUGAGCCUUCCGCGACCCUGGUUUCACUCUCCCCUUGGCAGGUGCCGGUGCUCCCUACCGUCCCUGUUUGCCGGGAGGCUUUUCAUGACCUAGGAAUGCAAGAUGUCUCAGGGGCCGUGGCAGACGGCACCGUCGUUCAGUGAUUCAGUCUCCCCCUUCCCUUAGGAGCACCCCUCCUUGCCCAUUUCCAGGCAGGAGACACAGUGGAAGAGACAGGUUCCAGGGCACCCCCCCGUAGCUGGGAUCCGGGGAUCAGGAGACCACCAGGGUCCCUGUGGGAGUGUUACAACACCCGCACAGCAAGUGACUAGGCACUGGAACGUUGCUGCUGAAACACUGAACUCCAUGCUGUGCUGGGUGUGAGACAGGUGAAGGGGCGGGAAGGGCGCCAUCGCCUCACCCCUGCAUCCCACAUCAUCUCGAGUGUGUCCCCAGGCAAAGUGGAGUCCACACCCUGAGCCUGCUCACCCAGACCACUGCUCAGCCCUCCCAGGCUUGCCUUCCCCACACACUCCUUGCCCCCCACCCCUACACUGGCCAAAAAAAGAAAAGUUGCAAAAUCCAGGUGUACAGCUCAAUGACUUAGCAAAGCAAACAAACACUCCCUUGGCAUCACCAAAGUCAAGAACUCAAAUGUCUACCUCCCCAAACCCCCUCAUCCCCCUCCCAUCACUUCCUUCUCCCUUCCACCAAAGUGACCACAAACCUGAUUGUUGUGAUAAUCUCUUUGGUUUUUAUAAUUUUACCAAUUGUGUCAGUCCGUCCAGGAUGCUAUGACAAAGUACCACAGACUGUGACGUUUAUAAACAGCAGAAAUUUAUUGCUCACAGUUCCCAAGGCUGGAAGUCAGAAAUUAGGGUAUCAUCAGGGUAGGGGAAGGCCCUCUUCCAGGUUGCAGACUUCUCAUUGUAUCCUCACUGGUGGAAGGGGUGAGGGAACUCUCUGGAGCUUCUUUUAUAAGGGCACUAAUCCCAUCAUGAGGACCUCACCCCCAUGACCUCAUGACCUAAGCACCCCCCACAGGCCCCACAUACUAAUACCAUUAGGGGAUUAGGUUUCAGUGAAUUGGCGGGGGGGACACAAACAUCCAGGCCAUCACACGAGAUAAGCAGGCAUCCCUCAAUAUGAUGAUUUUGUUUUGUCUGUUUUCGGACUUUAUAUAAAUGGAAUUAUUCAGUAUUACAUUUUGUGUCUAGAUUCUGUGCUCAAAAUUGGGAGGUUAGGGACUUCCAUGGUGACCCAGUAGGUAAGACUCCGCGUUCCCAGUGCAGGGGGCCCGGGUUUGAUCCCUGGUCGGGAAACUAGAUCCCACAAGCCACAACUAAGAAGUCCGCAUGCUGCAACAAAGAUCCUGCGUGCUGCAACUAAGACCUGGCGCGGCCAAAAUAAAUAUUUUUUUAAAAUUGGGAGGUUAAUGUGAGUCAUUGCAUAACAGUAACAUGACUGCUAUUCCCCUAGAUAGAUGUUCUGCCAGUCAUUGAGCCCUUCUAGUGUUGAGAGACAUUUGAGUGGUUUCCCACUUUAGCUAGCACGGCUAGUGGUGCUGCCAAUACUUGCGUAUGUGGUGCACAUAUACGUGCAUUUCAAAGGGUAUGUAUAUCAGGUCAUAGAGUGUAUGUACUGGGUUGAAUUGUGUCCCCCCAAAUUCAUGUCCACCUGGAACCUCAGAAUGUGACUUUAUUUGGAAAAAGGAUCUUUGUGAGUAUAAUUAGUUAAGAUGAGGUCAUAGUGGAGUAGCGAGCCCUAAUCCAGCGACUGGUGUCCUUAGAAGAAGAGGCCAUACAAAGCUGGAAGCAGAGAUUGGAGUGAACUUGUGUCUUCAAGCCAAGGAACACCAAGGAUUGCUGGCCACCACUGGAAGCUAGGAGAGGGGGCAGAUCCCUCCUCAGAGCCCCCAGAAGGAACCAACCCUGCCGUUACCUUGACCUUGGACUUCUGACCUCCAGAACUGUGAGAGAAUAAAUCUUUUGUUGUUUUAACCCUACCAGUUUAGGGUGCUUU